GACGAACGCUGGCGGCGUGCUUAACACAUGCAAGUCGAGCGGUAAGGCCCUUUCGGGGGUACACGAGCGGCGAACGGGUGAGUAACACGUGGGUGACCUGCCCUCAGCUCUGGGAUAAGCCUGGGAAACCGGGUCCUAAUACUGGAUAUGACUCCAUGACGCAUGUUGUGGGGUGGAAAGCCUUGUGCGGCUGAGGAUGGGCCCGCGGCCUAUCAGCUUGUUGGUGGGGUGAUGGCCUACCAAGGCGACGACGGGUAGCCGGCCUGAGAGGGCGACCGGCCACACUGGGACUGAGACACGGCCCAGACUCCUACGGGAGGCAGCAGUGGGGAAUCUUGCGCAAUGGGCGAAAGCCUGACGCAGCGACGCCGCGUGAGGGAUGACGGCCUCGGUU
rnacentral:rRNA from 1 species